CUCUCUCUCUCUCUCUCUCUCUCUCAGGAGUGCACAGAUGGUUAUGAGUGGGCUGUUCAGAGUCAGCACUGUAAAGAAGGCUGCCGAUGGGAGAUGAAGUGUUUUAACCACUAUAGCGGCUACCUGUCUCCCACGCUCUCCUGAACCUUCCAGCCGGUUAGUGGUUACCUCGCCUGUGGAGUCCUUCGAGGCCUUGAGAUUGAGUCAUCUGUGGAUCUGUUGGGGCGGUAUGCAAAUUGGAGUGGGUCCAGGCUGUCUGAGAUGAUGGUGUUGAUGAAACGAACAACAUCAGUGUGAUGAUGGUCCAGGCCCGUGCUGUGACCGGCCCCGAAGAGUACAACCUGGAGCUGGUGUCUGUCAACCCCCUCAUGAUCUAUCAGACCAGCUCUGCCCUACGACUGUCUGUCUUUGUAAAACCAUCUGAGGAGACAGAUGGAGCAAAGAGAAGGAAACGGAAAUAGAGAGUGGGAGACAGAUGUGAGAUGAGAAUAACUGUUAAGGGCAUGAGAUGGGAACAUUUCUCAGACACGUUACUACUAGACAUGUAUCUUAAAGAAAUCUGCCCGGGGCAAAGCAAGUUGUAAAACCAUUCUUCCAUAAUUCUGUGAGUCACCACAAACACACAUGCUCAUGCACACGCAUGCAGACCAGUGGCGGCUGGUGACGCUUUAAAUCGGAGGACGGGCUCAUUUGUAAUGGCUGGAAUGGAAUAAAUGGAACAUAUCAAACACGUUUUAAUACUGAUCGAUUUAUUCCGUGCCAGACAUUACUAUAUGUUGUCCUCCGUUCGCCAGCCUCCUCUGCCACACGCACACAUGGUACACUGGCACACACUGGAAUCUAGCCUCUGCAGUGUGCAUCAUAUUUUCAAUAGUUUCUUGCUGCACAAAAGACUAGCCAAGAGGGUCCAUUAUCUUGUUACCAAGGCAACUGAUAAAAACAUCCAUUCAAAGCAACCAUUUCAACCCAUGUCACACUGUUAUUUUUCUCUCCAUCAGGGUCGUUCUCCUGCUCUCCUCUCAUCCUAACUGUUCUCCAGAUAGUUCACUCUUAACUGUAAAGAAUUAAUAUUGCUUGUUCCUAUUCUGUAGUUUAAUUAUUUUAUUUUUAAACAACUUAUGGUUGUUUUGUCAUGUUACUAAAAUUAAGAGAUGAAACCAACAUUUGGAUGAAUGAUAUUCAUUUUAGUUGCUGUUCCUCUUCCAACUCCCUGCUCAUGCACACGCUUAGCCUUUCUCUUACCACCUCUUCUGCUUAAUUAAGGCCCAAUAAUGGGUUCUCUUGCUGACCAUCUUUUCUCUCUUUCAUUCACUCUGUCACGUUUGCUUAUUUCCUUUUCAGUACAAAUGCAGAUAAAUGCACUCUUUCAAAUCAAUUGACACUGCUAAUUACACUACAGUAUGUGCAGUUAAUAUAGAUUAGCAUCUUACUUUAAAUUGCCAAAUGACCCUAACAGGUUUAAACGUCACCCUAGCUACGUAUUUAAACAUCUUUUAAAUGAAUAGCCUACAGCCUAACUUAAAGGUUGGUAACAAUUGGUUUAGUCAACAAAGUCUCCUAGUUAUUUCAACCUUCUUUAUCAAUGUAAUUAUGUUGCAUCGAUGUGGCUAGUUGGUUGAAUUUGCAUGAGGUCAUCAACAUGCACAGGCGUUUGUCUCAUUUGAAUCAAGAUGUCAACCAAAAAUGAACAAUUGGGUUCAAAUGAACAAUUCAGUCACAAAUCAACCAAAUGGUUGAUCUAACGUCUUGGUGAGUCAUGUAGCUGUGUAAGGGUUCAAAUUAAUCUAAAAGUGGUUGACAUUAUAGCCCUGUUCAUACCUGGUUCUGACAUGCAGACUUUUUCUUGAUUUUCUCCACAUUCUGAUAGUGCCCACAUUUUUGGACAAAUGUAGACGAUUAAAAGAUGCAUCAUGAUCUGAUUGUGAUCAGAUCUUAGAGGUGUAAACAGACAAGAUCAGGACGAUGGACACAUGUUAACGGAAAGUAUAAACAGGAUUUAUGUGAAUCCUCCGCUGUAGAAUUGACUCUUACCUAAGACAUGAAUCAGUUAUCUGUAACCUAAAAAAAAAAUAUUUGGAGAAAUGUAUGUUAUUGUCGUGUCAUCAUAUUCAUGUUCAAAAGGUUGACAUUUUGUAAAUGUUCCACCUUAGAAUUGAUCCUUACCUAAGACAUAAUUCACAGUUUUCAUCUGUUACCUAAAUAAUUAUUUUGACAAAUGGAUGUUUUUCUCUCUUGAUCAGGUUAUUUUUCCAGCUUUGCCCCACACACAUACGGCCAUUGGACUGAAAUAGCAGUAUGUCGCCACAUAAAUGUACAUCUAGCUGAUAACCCUUAUCACUCUGGAUAAGGUUUAAGUGCCUUGCUCAAGGGCAAAAAUAGAUUUUUCACUUAGUCUGCUUUGGGACCUUUUAGUUACUUGCCCAAACACUCUUAAAUGUUAGGCUACCUGCCGCCCACAUAGUGGCACAAACAUAGAAAGCUGAAUCUGAUUCCCUUGAGUAAAAAAAGGAAUUGUUAGAGUAUUUCAGAAGAAAUCCUGGUUCACUCAAACCUUAUGUAAGAAUGUGCAGCAAAAAUUGUGUUUUUGUGUUUCAAGUUUCAUUCAUUGUGUGUAUAGGAUACAUAUGGCAUACACCGUCCAACCAAAAUGGUUACUUGCAGAUUCUUUCUCGACAAUGCAACAACAAUAAGAAAUUUAUAAAAGAUAAGAAUAUGAGAAUGCACAUGUCAGAUAACGUGUGAGUAUAUUUUGGUAUGUUUGUGCCAGAGUGUUGGGCAUUCCUCUGUGGCAUCGCCAGUGUAGGAGCUGAGAGACAGGGAGUCCAGGCACAGACGGUAUGUAGGUGGGCAGGAGAAGCAGAUGGGUGUGGGUGGUGAGUAGUACAGGGGGUCAUGUUGUCAGGGCACACCUGGGAUUGGUAGGAUUUCAUCACAGGGUGCCAUGCCAUGGGUGACAGGGGUCACACAGCAGACUCAGUCUGAGGUAGAGGGAGAGUCAAUGUACAUUAAGAUUUAGUCUGAACGUGAAUUAGCCUACCAGAAAGCACUUAAAAAUGUUAUUAUUAAUCUUGUUGACCCUGAACAAUGACUCAUUUGUAUAUGGAGCAUAAUAAUAACAUUUUUACAAUAAAUGGCUAAAUCCUCACAACAUAUUCCAGUGAUAUACUGUAGAUUCACUGCCAAUGUCUCUUAUUAACAUAUGCGACGUGAAAUAGUUUCUAGGCUUAUUUAUUCCUGUGAUUAAAUACAUUUUUUAUAUUCCCUGUCCAGAGAGGAGGAAAUUGAGCUGGGUCAGGUGGAGAGUAAUUUUCUCACCACCCCUCAUGAGUCCCUACUAAUCAUCAUUCCAUUAAGAGAAGGGCUUUGACAUAACUUAACAAAUGCAUGAAAACAAAUAUGAAUAAUCUUUCUAUUCACAUGUAAAAAGUGUAGGACAGUGUGUACGAGUGAAAAACUGAUUGUAAUGUUUAUUUUCAUUUAGCUUGUACAUAAAACAUGUAAUAUCAUUAGAGAAAAUGUAAUCACAUUAUGACAAGAGACAAAUGUGCCAUCUUUACCUGACAAAACUCUACAGAGGAGUUUUAUAUCAUUCCUCUAUACUGGAAAGAUCAUACUGUGCUCUUCCUAAACUGAUCUUAUGACGAAGAGACGACAGUGGUCCAUGUAAUCAUAUCGCUCAACAUUAAAUUGCGUUCGAUUUUCAAAAAUCGCAUUUUUACAUAUCUGACAACAUACUUUAUCUGUCAUCCACCUCUAAAUAAUAAAGUGGUUAUCACCUAACGGCUUAAAUGGUGUCUGAGAAUAAUUCAUUUCCUUAUAUCUCUAUUUGUGGACCAAUGUGGUUACUAAGUAACCACAGUGUUAUUGCCAUGGCCACAUAGAUGGAAACAAGCAAGUGACAAGUACCAUGUGCUUGAUGAAUGAAUUAA